AAUUAAAAUAAUACAAGCUUUAUAUUACAAGCCAGGGGCCUCGAAGGCUCGAAUACAAGAGCUCGAUCAUAGACGAGUCAGCGGAAGCAACAAUAUCUGAGUACAGACAUAAGUUAAACGAGUUGCCUUAAGAAGGCUAGCACAAACUGGGAUAUAGAUCGAAAGAGGCGCAGGCCUCCUGCCUGGGAUCCUCCUAAACUACUCCUGGUCAUCGUCAGUGGGCUGCACGUAGUAGUAGGCACCUCCCGAGUAGUAGUAGUCAUCAUCGACAGUGGCGUCUGGCUCCUGGGUAAAUAAUACAAGCUCGAAAGUAGAGCAUGGUUAACAAAGAAGAGGAUACAAUUUACCAAAGGCAUUAUAUACCCAUGGAAAGGCUCACAAGGUUAUUGAAUAUGAAAGACACUGUCGGAUAAUAAUCCAACAAGAGGUAUGGUGGUCUACAACGGAGCUGAUGUGAGUUUCGGAACUCUAUCAAACGAAGAAUGAAUGCAAGUGCAUCGGAUUAUAGAAACAACUAACUAACUCAAAGCUCAAAUGCAAAGGAAUUAUGAAUUCCAGGACAAGGGAUCAUAAGCAAUGCUCUGAUUAGGAAUGGAUAAGUUGAAUAUCCUUAGGGGUACAAUCGACAACAAUUUGAUUGGUCGAGAUCCAACUCAUGUUUAAAAUGACGUCUGAGCCAAAAGGAUGAAUUCUAGGAUUCGACUGAGGAAUGGGAGCAUCCUCAAUAUAUUGAAUCAACGGACUUAAGAUCAUAAAGACAAGGGAUGUCAAUAAGAUUACGAGACUUAUGGGAUUAACCAUAAUGCAAGAAAGCAAGAAUUUCAAGAUCAAUAGGCUGCUCAGGAUUUUCGGAAGAUCGAAUGGUAUUUCGAAGACUUUUACGAAAUACAUGAAUCAACUAGGGGUGAGCGGAUACUCGGUAAGUGCGAGGAAUUAUCCAUAGGGGAAUUCAGGCGGCAAAGAACUGCAGGGCAGUAGACACAAGGGAUUCUCGGAAUAUCGGAAGUAUUUCAAGGUAUCUUGUAAUAACAAGAAUUGGAGAUGAAGUUAUGACCGACAAGUGUAUGUAGCUUCCCAUAGGGAUUUACCAGUGGUAUGGGAUUGCAACGGCGAAGGGCACAAGGGUCUCGAGGAAACAUCGGACAGUAGCUUCAAAAUUUUCAGGUGCAGCAGGCGAUCAUCUGGAGUGAAGGGGCUCUCCGGGAGAAGUAUUUUCGAGAACCUAAAGUUAGAUUUUAGAAAAAUCAUUUAACCCGAGUAGAAGAGAGUUCAGAGUCCCAGAGUAAGGAUCGAGGAGUAAAAGAUCCUAAUACCACCCAGAUGGCGACGUGGGCCUGUAAGGCACACAACCAUGUUAGCAAAAGUUUUUGUAAUGUCUAGACUCGACUUCGGCCAAGGAGUGUGGAAGGGGGAUUCCUACAGGCAGUCUACUCUGAUACCAACUUGUGACGCCCCCGAUUUGACCGUACACUAAUCAUGCACGCAAAUGUGUACGACCAAGAUCAGGAACUCACGGGAAGAUAUCACAACACAACUCUAGACAUAAAUUAAAAUAAUACAAGCUUUAUAUUACAAGCCAGGGGCCUCGAAGGCUCGAAUACAAGAGCUCGAUCAUAGACGAGUCAGCGGAAGCAACAAUAUCUGAGUACAGACAUAAGUUAAACAAGUUGCCUUAAGAAGGCUAGCACAAACUAGGAUACAGAUCAAAAGAGGCGCAGGCCUCCUGCCUGGGAUCCUCCUAAACUACUCCUGGUCGUCGUCAGCGGGCUGCAUGUAGUAGUAGG
rnacentral:lncRNA from 1 species